UGGGGCUGUGGGAGUCCGGCUCCCGUAGGUGAAGUCGGGGUGAGGUCCGGCUCCUGUGGGAGUCCGAACGGGGUCUACCUGCAAUUGAAGUCAGGCAAAAUUUGUCUCCCGUAGGAGUCUGGGCGGAGCUUACCAGCAGUCGAAGUCGGGGAUGAAGUCCGGCUCCCGUAGGAGUCCGGACGAAGUUUACCUGUAGUUGAAGUUGGAGACGGAGUCCGGCUCCCGUAGGAGUCCGGAUGAAGCUUGUCUGCAGUC
rnacentral:lncRNA from 1 species